GACGAACGCUGGCGGCGUGCCUAAUACAUGCAAGUAGAACGCACAGUUUAUACCGUAGCUUGCUACACCAUAGACUGUGAGUUGCGAACGGGUGAGUAACGCGUAGGUAACCUGCCUGGUAGCGGGGGAUAACUAUUGGAAACGAUAGCUAAUACCGCAUAAUAUUGAUUAUUGCAUGAUAAUUGAUUGAAAGAUGCUAUUGCAUCACUACCAGAUGGACCUGCGUUGUAUUAGCUAGUAGGUGAGGUAACGGCUCACCUAGGCGACGAUACAUAGCCGACCUGAGAGGGUGGUCGGCCACACUGGGACUGAGACACGGCCCAGACUCCUACGGGAGGCAGCAGUAGGGAAUCUUCGGCAAUGGACGAAAGUCUGACCGAGCAACGCCGCGUGAGUGAAGAAGGUUUUCGGAUCGUAAAGCUCUGUUGUAAGAGAAGAACGGGUGUGAGAGUGGAAAGUUCACACUGUGACGGUAUCUUACCAGAAAGGGACGGCUAACUACGUG
rnacentral:rRNA from 1 species